rnacentral:lncRNA from 1 species
AUAUACUUUACAUAUAAAGUAUGGUACGACUGUAGUAGGCUGAAAUUGACUUUAGACUAGUCAGUCCUAAACAUAAAUGUUCUGUGUUGCAUUAUAUUGCCUAAAUAUUAAGCUCCUAUCACGUAGUCAAUAUUGCCUCACAUAAGUGGUCCUAUUGCAAGCUAGUGUACUGAAUACUAAAUACAUAGUAAAUUUAUAUGCAUACACAAUUGUGCCUGAACACAUCAGACUGAAAUCUGCUCGUGAGCUGAGCUGUCACACAUCUUGGAGUGUCUGGAGUUCUUUAGGCCAUGCCAUCCAUAUAUGAGUUGUGCACGUGCCAUCCAUGUCCUUCCUGUAUUUGAAUCUGUGCUUGGGAGGAAGUGGAGGCGUGCGUUGACUCGGAAAAUCCUUCAUUCUGGGAAUGUCAAGAGGACCAAACUGUUGUAUGGUCAGUAUUCAUUAGGAAGUCUUGGAACUCUUGAGGUUGCAUUUGUGAAGCUCGGCUACGUGAGGAGAAAGCCAACUACUGUUUUGUUAGGUGGCUCAGACGUCUGGAGGCUUUCGUACAAGACUGGGAACUCAGCGCAUGGGGAAUGAAUGAAGUUCACAAAAGAAGAGGACCUUCCCUGAAGUUUGAAAUGGCUCUCAUUUGCUGUGGCAGUGAGAAGAAGAAGGGGAAGCAAACAGCUGUCUACGAGAGGCAGGUACCUGAAAAACAGUGUUAAAAGUCUGCAAUUGAUGCUCCAAUGUUUGGGAAAUGGUGAAUCACUCCAGCUGAAAUUAGUGAAGACUUGGGACGUGGAGGGCAGAAGACUGAAGAAUGAUUAAAUCCAGGAAUCUGCUAAUGCAAAUAACCUACUUCGGUAAUAAAUUUUACAAACUGUCAUAAGUGUUAUUUGAAACUCAAGCUGUAAUGCAUUAAAGCAAAUGUUCCCAGGGUUUUCAGCAUAAUAAUCUGGGUCCUUUCCAUUUUUUAUUUAUAGAAGUUGAGACGUCUCAGUUAUAUUAACAUUAUGCUUUCCUGGGUCAUAACCACAAAUGAUAACUUCCGAAUAUUCCCAAAUGCUGAAUUAACAAAAGCCUUAAUUUGAAGUUAUUCCCAUUGGUAAAGUUAAGUGCUACAUGAUGUAUUUCCAAGUUUUCAUCUGAAGACUUGCUUUUUCUUUUUGUAAUACUUAAGAUCAGCAAUUCAACAUUUUUUUUUUUAACAAAGACUCAAACUUUAACAUACCUGUCCAGAAUCAUGCCUUAUCCAAAACAUCAGACUCGUAUGCUACAUAAUAAAGAAUAUAAAUUAAAAUUUAUAAAAUUAAAAAUUAUAAAAUUAAAAUUUAUAUUCUU